rnacentral:lncRNA from 1 species
CCAAACCUACCAGCAUCUUGUCUUACUUGAUUUGGAGAAAAAGCUGUUCCUCUUUCUGUCAUAGGCUAAAUCUUCCACUAUCCUGCUUUCUUAUCUAUUAUGUUAUCUAAUUUACUUUCUAUUGGCCCCCUCUACUUCCAGUGUAAUUAAGUCUUAUAAGGGCAGGGAAUUUGCAUCUGUUUGUGCAGAUGUGAGGUGUGAGGAAAGGAAAGCUGAUGAAAAAGAAAGCUUGGAUGAUUCCCAUAUUUUUGGCCUGAACACUGGAAGGCCUGGAGUUGCCUGUAACUGAGCUGGGGAGGGCCAUUCAUUGGUGAGGUUUGGAGGGGACAGUCAAGAGUUUAGUUCAGGACAUGUUAGCACAUUAGACAUCCACGUGGGGAUAUUGUGUAGGCAGUGGAAUAUACAACUUUUAGAGAGGAGGUCUAGGAUAUAGGGAUAAAUAUCGGUCUCAUCAGCAUAAAGAUGGCAUUUAAAGCCAUGAGAGUAGAUGGGAACUUUAAGGAAUAAUUGUCAAUAAUAAAGGGAAGGAGUCUAAGGACUGAGCCCGGGGACACCAAUGCCAAGAAGCCAGGGAAGAAAAACUACCAAGGAGAUUGAAAAGGAGAGCCCUGGACUACGAUACCAGGUGGAAAACCAGGACAAUGUGGCAUCCUGACAUCCCAGUGAAGAAAGUGUUUCAAUGAAGUGUCCCACUUCUUCACACUCCAAAGUGUGGCUGGCAAGUGAUAUUAGAUGAGAACAGAGAAUUAACCAUUGGAUUUGGCAUUGCAGGGAGUCAUCGUUGACCUUGGCAAGAGUGGGUUUAGUAGAGUGGGGAGGGGUGAAAGCAUAAUUGGAGUGGGUUUGAGAGAAAAUGGAUAAAUGAAGGAGAAAACAAUUAGCUCGUGGGGAUAAAAGUUUAUGAAGAUAGAAAUGGGUUUCUGAUUUAAAAAAUCAAUCUUGGUGCCAUUAUAAUCCUAUGGGCUCUUGAAAUUACUCUCCACACUGUUUUAUUCUUGUGAAUGCAGUGCAGGUUCUUCAGCUUUGCUGGAGUACGUAUCGACUUUGCUGGGAGCAUGACUUUGUGCAAGGCAUAAAGGUUAUACCUCUGCAGCUCUUCUACUUUGUCUCUGCCAUCUCUGACAACUCAACUCAGGUGUACACUUAAAGCGUUCUGGGAAUAUGAAUCCCUUCUGCACCCUGGAAUCACCAGUCCAGCCAUGCAUGGAGCUGGGGAAAGCAGGCCCUGAAUUGUCUAGAGAGACUUGGUGGAGGAGGCCACGGCCCGCCUUGUCCCUGCCGGGUCCCAGCCAGGUGUGUGUGCCCCAGCUCGACUCUCGGUGGUCUCCAGGCUGCAGCAGAAGGAAUACCUUGGUAUUUGUUUCAUUUUAGUGUCCAUCCUUACCCUCCUGGUCUGGUAGAGCCUAUGGUUAUUCUUGGAUUCCACAUACGUGAAAAGCGAAGAUUUUUCUUUGUUUUUAUGCUUAAGCUAACUUCAGUUCUGCUUUCCCACAAAACUACCCCCACCCUGGCUCCUGUCCCUGGCUGUCAAUGCUUUUCCAAUAGGAACUCAUUAGAGUGAGAAAAAAAUUCCACCCCCACCCCCAUCCCCCCACCACUUGCGCCAAAAGCACAGCAUACCACCUCUGCGGAAACCUUUUUGUGCCAUCUUGAAUAACCCAACUAAAGUUGUGCACUUGUUACUAUAAAAGUAUUUUUGAGGCCUUUGAAGAUUGAUGGCUUUCCAGUUGUGUUUGAAGCAUAGUUCAAAACAUGUAAACGUGCAGCUCCCACACAUUAAUUUUUUUCUUCUUUCCUCCUCUUUUGGUAUCUGCACACAAAUGUGGUGCAUGACAGUAACUGAUGAUGUAGACACAUGGGCCCUUUGGGAGCUGAUAUUUUUUUCAACCCUGCUCUGCCUGUUGGCUAGUAGACACAUGAGUCAAAUCUUUCUACCUAAGGGCAUAGUUGGGUUCUUGGAAUAAGUGACACAUAGGAGAAGUCGGAUCUGAGCUCUUUUGUCACACAAGUGCUAACGAACAGAAAAUGAGCCACGACAGUUAAACACUGAAUGGAUCGCAAUGUGCUUUUCCCUUGGUUUCCCAUAAAAACGAAAAUGAAACACCUUGUGCAAAAAAAUAGGAUACGCUUUUACUGGUCGGUUUAAUGAGAGAGAACCACUUUUGGCCAUUAUCACCUUAUGUUACUACAAAUCCUGAAAGGAAAGCAGCUUUGAGUCUUGGGCUCGGCUGAACCCCCUGCAUGGACCGGGGCUAACAGUACCCUCUACGACUCCCACAGGUCUCUCUUUGUGUCCAGAUGGAUGGCGACUGUGAGUCAGCAACGCCAGCCAAGACUUCCUCGCCUUUACCGUGGCAUUGGGGCAGUUUUUCAGGCUCUCUACGGAGAGAGAAGUGGGCCAGUAAGGGAGAGGGCUAGAGAGAGGACACCAGUUUACAUAGGGUUGACUUUCACUUGUGUGUAGUAGCAGUUCACAAUUUAAAAGAAAUUUCCUUGCAGAAAGAAUGUCUUCCUCUUGGCCCCUCUGAAUUUUUUAUGUUUUUAUUUAUUUGUAAUCUUUGGCAGCAUAGAACUGAUUGUGGUCCUCCGAUGCAUUUCUGGUGUCGAGAACUUCCUUUCUCAACCUCCCCUUCCCCCAUAGCCAUCCCCACAAGCUGUCCCAUCAAGGAAUAUUUCAGGUGUAAACUGAAUAUGCCACGAGGCCUCCUCUUCAUGAAGUGCUUGGUUGGCCUACGUAUGGGUGGCAGGCUGGACAGAGCUGAAUCGUCUUUCUGGGUCACCCUGUAACUCAAGUCCCCUUUCCCAUUCUCUCCCAACGCUACUUAUCCGCAGGAAUUGGAUGCCGGCUGGCCCCCCUGACAGUUCCUGGCCUAGGGGCUGUCAUGGCAGAGGAAGCCACCAAGGUGCCAUUGAGGAUUGGUGUCUGGCUCUCUAUGGGCAAGAGCGCCAGGGGACACACAGUGGGACCGGAACCUUCCUGAAUGUCUCCUCAGUCAGUU